rnacentral:rRNA from 1 species
GACGAACGCUGGCGGCGUGCCUAACACAUGCAAGUCGAACGGUAAGGCUCCAGCUUGCUGGGGUACACGAGUGGCGAACGGGUGAGUAACACGUGGGUGACCUGCCCUGCACUUCGGGAUAAGCCUGGGAAACUGGGUCUAAUACCGGAUAGGACCAUGGUGUGGAUACUGUGGUGGAAAGUUUUUUCGGUGUGGGAUGGGCCCGCGGCCUAUCAGCUUGUUGGUGGGGUAAUGGCCUACCAAGGCGGCGACGGGUAGCCGGCCUGAGAGGGUGGACGGCCACAUUGGGACUGAGACACGGCCCAGACUCCUACGGGAGGCAGCAGUGGGGAAUAUUGCACAAUGGGCGGAAGCCUGAUGCAGCGACGCCGCGUGGGGGAUGACGGCCUUCGGGUUGUAAACUCCUUUCACCAUCGACGAAGGGUUUCUGACGGUAGAUGGAGAAGAAGCACCGGCUAACUACGUG